rnacentral:rRNA from 1 species
AACGAACGCUGGCGGCAUGCCUAACACAUGCAAGUCGAACGAGACCUUCGGGUCUAGUGGCGCACGGGUGCGUAACGCGUGGGAACCUGCCCUUAGGUUCGGAAUAACUCCCCGAAAGGGGUGCUAAUACCGGAUAAUGUCUUCGGACCAAAGAUUUAUCGCCUUUGGAUGGGCCCGCGUUUGAUUAGCUAGUUGGUAGGGUAAAAGCCUACCAAGGCGACGAUCCAUAGCUGGUCUGAGAGGAUGAUCAGCCACACUGGGACUGAGACACGGCCCAGACUCCUACGGGAGGCAGAAGUGGGGAAUAUUGGACAAUGGGCGAAAGACUGAUCAAGCAAUGCCGCGUGAGUGAUGAAGGCCUUAGGGUUGUAAAGCUCUUUUGCCCGGGAUGAUAAUGACAGUACCGGGAGAAUAAGCUCCGGCUAACUCCGUG